AGUACUUUUCAAUUGAAACUGGUUUAGACAAGUAUACCUCAUUCAGUCACUCUCAUUCUAAUUAGAUUUAAUUCAAACAUGGCAAAAGUAUAGCAUCCUAAAAGCCAUCAUCCUGAAAAGUUAUGUUCAUUUUCAUAGUUAUGAGUAUUUUAAUGAAGAAAAGAUUAAGACCAAAGAAACCCUUUCGUAAAUGUCAGGGAACUAUGGAAGAAGAUCAAAUUUAUUCCAGGAGAAAUUUCCAGUUGUAUUGAGAUUAGGAAUUUGGCCUGCUGACUCAGCAGAUAAAUAUCUCAGCCUACAUCACAUGAGGUCUGAGAGUAGUGCAUUUAACCACCUUCUACUAUUUAAAGCAUUUUAGACUUGCCAAGUAUGUUUUAUAUUUCCAAUUUGCUCAGAGGUCCUGAGAAACUCAAGGAAUCUGCCAUAGCAUGUGAGACAGACAGAAGUGGAGUGGAAAAGUCUAAAAGUUAAAAAUACCAAGAGCUGAGAAUGGAGAAUGAAGGGGUUGGGGAGCAGAAGGUGGUUUCUGUGACAGACGGCUGGUGGGAGUAACCCAGGUCACCUGCCUGAGUCAGGCUGCAGCUUCUUGAAUCCUCUUCCCAGGAGCGGGCAGCUGUUCCACAGAGCUGAGGUGCCAGAUGCUAUUUCCUCCCUGCAAGAGACAAAAGGACACUGAGGGGGAAUUUUAAAGACAUCAAAGGCCUGAGUGGACAGCCAUGUCCCUGUAGCUGGCAAUUCUACUAAUACACUUACAAACAUUGGCUCCUCUGAAAAGGUCACCCCAUUAUGCAGACAAAAUUUGUGACUCUCAGCAGCUGGGAAUACCUUGGAACCAAAGAGAACAGCAAGGAGAGAGAGAAUAAAACAGAAUCAUUGCUAAGCCAAAUAUGGGGGAAAGAUUAACCUCUACAUUUUUUUUAAUAACAAAAACACAACAUUUCUCUUUAAUUCAUAACCUUAAGAAAUUCUACUUAUUAUUUAUAAUAAUUCUAAGGUGUUCUGAAGAUACUUUUAUAUUAGAAAAGACUAUCAUAUUAGUUUAUAUUACUUUAGGAAGGAAAUGCCUUAUUCUACUGCUAGAAGUUAUAGAAAAAUACACAGGGGAUUUUUUUUUUUUUUUUUUACUCUUACUAAUGAAGAAAGAAUCUAAUAAGGAUUGCUGAAUUUUGGAGAUCGGAGAGUUGUGUUUAUACCCACAAUAAAAUGUUAGGCUACUACAUCAGAAAAGCCUUGGUUCAUUUAUUUUGACACAAGUAUUUUAAAUAAUUUUGUUUCCUUGGUAAAUGGUCUGUAGACUCAUCAAAGUUUUGUUAACUAAAAUAUUAUUAAUGUGAAUUCACUCUAUGCAUCUCAUAAUUUUGUUGAGAAAUGAGAUGUGAACAGUGCAUUUUAUGGUAGCAAGAAUUGCUAACAUUAUAUCUGGUCCAUAGUACGUGCUCAAAAAAGGAAUAAAAGAAAAUGUUGAAAGUACAGGGGAAUUUAUUCACAAGUGUUUCAUAGGACAGGAAUAGAAGUGAGAGGGGCUAAACUUAUGGAGGAGAUAUUCAUAAUAGCAAUACAGAUUAAUUAAGUAAGCCCUCUGUAUUCAUUAUUUUACUUAACCUUUACAACAGACUUCAUGAAGUUUGAAUUAUCCCCACUUUAUGAAGAAGAAAAUUAAAGGUCAGAGAGAUGAAGUAAUCACCCAAAGUCACACAGUGCAUGAGUGGCACAGCCCAGUCUGUCUUCACAUUCACCUCAUUUUACUUACUUUUAUCUAGAGGUAGAGGUUUUUGACAUGGACAGACAGUUCUAGUACCACAUAUGAAAAAAGCGGUUUAGAAAAACUGGCUUCCCGUAUAUUAUUACAGAUGGAGAGGGGGGUGGACAAGAAAUACUGAGAAGGUUUAUAUUAUUAUUAAAACUGUCCGUGGACCCAACCAACCCCAAAGUUUCCUUUGGAAUAUGAUAUGUAGUAGACAUGACUUUCUCAUAGCUCUCACUCUCUCAAAUACUCUGGAUUUUGAGAUUUGUAGGGAGAACAAGGUAGUAUAGAGGUUUGGGCCUAAUUUUUUUUUAAUUUUGUUUUGUUUUUCAUAUUUAUUAGUGAGAUAUGAAGAAUAUUUGAUCCUAGGAAAUUCAGAAGAAAAAUAAAUUCAGUCCAGAUCACAUCUGAAACCCCGAAUUCUGGAAGAAUUUCACUUGUGAAGAGGAGAACCCUUAAAAGAUAAGAAAGUUUGAAAAGGGUCCUAGGACUGAAAGCUUUAUGAAUUUUAAAGUAUGUGUGUAUAUAUGUGUGUUUGGGGAGGUGUUCAGGGUUAAAUUUUAGUUAUAUUAUAUUUGGAUAUGCAAAGAAAUAUAGCUUUCUUACUUCUUAUAACUGGGGUGAGAAGUAGGUAAAGAACAAGAAAUACAUUAAAAAAAUUUUUUUAACUUUUAAAAAUUGUGGUAAAAUAUACUAACAAUUAACCAUUUUAAGUGUACAUUUCAGCGGCAGAACAAUAGACACUUUAACUUGUCCAUUAAAAUAACUUCUGGAUUAAACAGUUGUGUUUAGGUAAAUAUUCUGUCAAUUCAAAGGUCAGCUCCCUACUGGGGAUGUUCCUCCAUCUUUGUUUUUCUACUCAAGAUAGUGUCUGUAGGGGAAAACACUCUUGGCAAUGAAACCAUUUGGCAUUUAUUAAUUAUAUUCUAUUGGUCUUUGCUAUCUUGUGGAUAGUUUAAAGUAGUCUCUAGACUGACUGGUGGGCACUGAAGUGUAACUGGAAAGUCCACUGUGCUUCUCUAGCUAUUCCCACCAGCAUCUUCCCUCAAAGCCCCAACACAAGUCAUACAUCCAACUUCCAACCAUCUUCCCCUGGAAAGGGAGAGACUUCUUUUUCUUCCUCCCUGAAAGGGACUUCCUCUAUGUCAUAUCCUUCUUCUUCCUCAUAGCACUAAGCACAGUGGCUCAGCCUUCAUCGUGGAUGAGUUGUCCUCUCCACAACUUGAAAGAACCUCUGAUUUG